ACGAAAAAUCCACGAAACCACGUGGAGUCCACGUCUUUUCCACGACCUAUUUCUCUCUGGGCUACAGAUUGUGUGAUGGUGAUUGUUAUGAGACAGACUGGUGGGGGAAGGACCUCGUGAAGGCUUUGGGUGCCGCUGUUCCCUCGAAAGUAUCUUCUUUAAAAUUAGAUUGCCUUGAGUAUGGUGACUUGAAGCCCAUUGUGGCUCACCUUUUGGCCACCGUGCCCCAUCUGCCCCGGCUCGAGGAGGUUGUCUUCAGCGACGUCAUUUCUGCUAACCAGCUUCGCGAUCUGGCACGCGGGGCACCAAGCCUCACCCGUCUUAGUGUAAAGACAUUGAAAAACUGCUUGUGCUGCUCGUGGAGCAAGGUUUGCGACAUUCUGAAUGCAAGUCCUCUUCUGCAGUUGACCAUUGAAAUUGACUAUAAUUUAAAGAAAUGCACAAACAACUGUGCGGAAUGUGUCGUCAAAUCUACGAAGGGGGUGACUUUUAAAAGUGCCACUUCAAUCGUAAAGCACGUCUCCAAGACAAGACACUGCAAAAAGUAAUCCUCGCAACUUUCCUGCAAAAAUGGCUGAGGUGAGCCUAAGCGAAAUUUUUGUUUUGCCGCUGCCUUAUUUGUGCGGAGAUUCCUGCUAACCAUUCUGAAGAUAGCCAGAAAUAGUACUUCUCAACUGUAAAUAAUGUUUAAGCCAUCAGUUUUAAUUUGAAUGUAUCUAAAUUCAAAUAAAAUUCUUUCUGAUGCCUUUCUA